UGGGAGAUUGAUACGCAAUUAGAAUCAAACACACUCUAAUUGUCACUAAUAUCUCCCUAAAAUAAAAAGCCUUUUGAUGACCGAGCCAACUUGAGAGAAAUUGGAGCGGACAGAUACGGGGCAAACAAAC